CACAGGACUACUGUGGGUAGAACGUGAGACUCUUAAUCUCAUUGUCGUGGGUUUGAAUCCCACUUCGGGUGG